CUCCUCCUCUGCCUUCACCUUGUGCUUCCACUGAGCCCCCUGUGUCAGUUGGGAAUGCCCUCAGCAGCGUGUCAACCAGCGUGCGCUUUUAGUCGCGCAUUGUCCGAUCACGCUCCAGUGAGGGAAUUAAGGACGGCACGUUGUCCUUGUAAUGGGGAUCCAGCAGGGUGGCCACCCAGUAAUCAGCACAAGUUAGAAUGUGGACAACUCAGCAGUCGUUGCGCAGGCACUGCAGCAUGUAGUCGCUCAUGUGUGCCAGGCUGCCCAGAGGCAAGGACAAGCUGUCCUCUGUGUUAG